rnacentral:rRNA from 1 species
UAACGAUACGGGACUCAUCCGAGGCCCCGUAAUCGGAAUGAGUACACUUUAAAUCCUUUAACGAGUAUCCAUUGGAGGGCAAGUCUGGUGCCAGCAGCCGCGGUAAUUCCAGCUCCAAUAGCGUAUAUUAAAGUUGUUGCGGUUAAAAAGCUCGUAGUUGAAUCUGUGUGCCACGCUGUCGGUUCAUCGCUCGCGAUGUUUAACUGACAUGAUUGUGGGACGUCCUACCGGUGGACUUAGCCUCUAUCUCUUCGGAGUUAAAGGCGGUCCAGCUAAUAUCCCAUCGCGGUGCUUUUCAUCGAGUGUCGAGGUGGGCCGGUACGUUUACUUUGAACAAAUUAGAGUGCUCAAAGCAGGCCAUCUUCGCCUGAAUACUGUGUGCAUGGAAUAAUGGAAUAGGACCUCGGUUCUAUUUUGUUGGUUUUCGGAACCCCGAGGUAAUGAUUAAUAGGGACAGAUGGGGGCAUUCGUAUUGCGACGUUAGAGGUGAAAUUCUUGGAUCGUCGCAAGACGGACAGAAGCGAAAGCAUUUGCCAAAAAUGUUUUCAUUAAUCAAGAACGAAAGUUAGAGGUUCGAAGGCGAUCAGAUACCGCCCUAGUUCUAACCAUAAACGAUGCCAGCUAGCGAUCCGCCGAAGUUCCUUUGAUGACUCGGCGGGCAGCUUCCGGGAAACCAAAGCUUUUGGGUUCCGGGGGAAGUAUGGUUGCAAAGCUGAAACUUAAAGGAAUUGACGGAAGGGCACCACCAGGAGUGGAGC